rnacentral:rRNA from 1 species
CCCCCUGUGAGAAUGCCCUACAGCUCCCUGCCCGGGAGCAAGGAGCUGGUAUCAGGCACACACCUGUAAGCCCAUGACACCUUGCUUAGCCACACCCUCAAGGGAACUCAGCAGUGAUAAACAUUAAGCCAUAAGUGAAAACUUGACUUAGUUAAAGCUAAGAGGGCCGGUAAAACUCGUGCCAGCCACCGCGGCUAUACGAGAGACCCGAGUUGAUACCAUUCGGCGUAAAGAGUGGUUAUGGAAAAUAAAAACUAAAGCCGCACACCUUCAAAGCUGUUAUACGCAUCCGAAGGCAAGAAGACCAACCACGAAGGUAGCUUUACAACCCCUGACCCCACGAAAGCUCUGGCACAAACUGGGAUUAGAUACCCCACUAUGCCUAGCCCUAAACCUUGGCAAUAUAUCACAUACCCUGCCCGCCUGGGAACUACGAGCAUCAGCUUAAAACCCAAAGGACUUGGCGGUGCUUUAGACCCCCCUAGAGGAGCCUGUUCUAGAACCGAUAACCCCCGUUCAACCUCACCCUUCCUUGUUUAUCCC